UGGUCCGAGCAUAUGGGUGCCUGUGU
rnacentral:piRNA from 1 species